GGGGAAAAACGGGGGUGCCAAUACAUGCAAGUCGAGCGAAUUGGAUUAAGAGCUUGCUCUUAUGAAGUUAGCGGCGGACGGGUGAGUAACACGUGGGUAACCUGCCCAUAAGACUGGGAUAACUCCGGGAAACCGGGGCUAAUACCGGAUAACAUUUUGAACCGCAUGGUUCGAAAUUGAAAGGCGGCUUCGGCUGUCACUUAUGGAUGGACCCGCGUCGCAUUAGCUAGUUGGUGAGGUAACGGCUCACCAAGGCAACGAUGCGUAGCCGACCUGAGAGGGUGAUCGGCCACACUGGGACUGAGACACGGCCCAGACUCCUACGGGAGGCAGCAGUAGGGAAUCUUCCGCAAUGGACGAAAGUCUGACGGAGCAACGCCGCGUGAGUGAUGAAGGCUUUCGGGUCGUAAAACUCUGUUGUUAGGGAAGAACAAGUGCUAGUUGAAUAAGCUGGCACCUUGACGGUACCUAACCAGAAAGCCACGGCUAACUACGUGCCAGCAGCCGCGGUAAUACGUAGGUGGCAAGCGUUAUCCGGAAUUAUUGGGCGUAAAGCGCGCGCAGGUGGUUUCUUAAGUCUGAUGUGAAAGCCCACGGCUCAACCGUGGAGGGUCAUUGGAAACUGGGAGACUUGAGUGCAGAAGAGGAAAGUGGAAUUCCAUGUGUAGCGGUGAAAUGCGUAGAGAUAUGGAGGAACACCAGUGGCGAAGGCGACUUUCUGGUCUGUAACUGACACUGAGGCGCGAAAGCGUGGGGAGCAAACAGGAUUAGAUACCUUGGUAGUCCAAAA
rnacentral:rRNA from 1 species